rnacentral:rRNA from 1 species
AUUGAACGCUGGCGGCAUGCCUUACACAUGCAAGUCGAACGGCAGCGGACCUUCGGGUGCCGGCGAGUGGCGAACGGGUGAGUAAUGUAUCGGAACGUACCUUUCAGUGGGGGAUAACUAUCCGAAAGGAUAGCUAAUACCGCAUAUUCUGUGAGCAGGAAAGCAGGGGAUCGCAAGACCUUGCGCUGAUUGAGCGGCCGAUAUCAGAUUAGCUAGUUGGUGGGGUAAAAGCUCACCAAGGCGACGAUCUGUAGCGGGUCUGAGAGGAUGAUCCGCCACACUGGGACUGAGACACGGCCCAGACUCCUACGGGAGGCAGCAGUGGGGAAUUUUCGACAAUGGGGGCAACCCUGAUCCAGCCAUGCCGCGUGCGGGAAGAAGGCCUUCGGGUUGUAAACCGCUUUCGGACAGAAAGAAAUCGCAUGGGCUAAUACCCUGUGUGGAUGACGGUACUGUAAGAAGAAGCACCGGCUAACUACGUGCCAGCCGCCGCAGUAACAC